rnacentral:tRNA from 1 species
GUGGCUGUAGCUCAGCGGGUAGAGCGCCCCUUUGCCGAAGCGGGAGAUCGUGAGUUCAAAUCUUACCAGUCACA